UUUUUAGGAAUAUAAUGCAGAUAUAAUUGUGACCACACCAAAUGUUCCUUAUCAAGCUACUUUAAAAACUCAAAGUUCAGAUGUCAGAAAAGAAAUUCGGAGCCCACAAGAAUUUGAAAAUCAAUCAAAAGUGAAUUGCUAUUUUGAGCCUGUUGUUAUUGGAACUCUAGUAUUUCCUGAACAAUAUUUAGGAAAGAUUAUUGAGCUUUGUGAGAACAAAAGAGGUCAACAGUUACUAUUAUCCUACAUUGAUGACUCCCGUGUUUUGUUAAAGUAUCGAUUACCUUUGAACGAAAUUGUUAUUGACUUCUUUGAUUUACUGAAAUCUGUAUCAUCAGGGUAUGCCAGUUUUGAUUAUGAAGAUGGUGGCUAUAUAGAAACAGACAUUGAAAAG
rnacentral:lncRNA from 1 species